ensembl:lncRNA
UCAGCAAAGCUCCCGCACUAGAAGUGGAAGGUGGAGAAACCCAGCACAGGGGAAGGCCCAUCGUGCUGGAAACUGGGACAGCGAAAAACGAACUCAGCAGAAAGCUCACGUGGCCCAGUCUCAGAUUCCAGAAGACCUCUGGUUAAGGGCUCUCUCCCCUUUCACUCUUGUCUAGAAACCUUGGACCACUGGACAAAACCCUGAGAGGGAUUGUCAGAAGAUCCUCUGACCAAUCCUGAGGAAAUCUGGUACACUGAUGGAAGCAGCUUUGUCUUGGAUGGAAAAAGGAGAGCCGGGUCCCCAAUCAAAUAUGGUGAUCAGAUUCUUCAACUCUUGGAGGCAGUCCAUCUGCCCACUGAGGUUUCAGUCUCCCACUGUAAAGGACACCAAAAAGGGAACAUGGAAGUGGCACGAGGGAACCAAGCAGCUGAUCAGGCAGC